GUGAAAAGGGUACCUAUGAAAGUGUUAUUCAAUGGUGGGAAGUCAGUAAAGUGCACAUAAGAGGGUUUUGUCAACAAUAUACAUAUUCCUCUUAAGUUCUGAAAAAGACUUUGGAGUGGUUGGAAAAGGAGAUCAUGGACAUUGAAAAGAAAAUGAAUGAUAUUGAUGCUACGAAUCUACAAGAUCUGUGGACUGAAAAGAAAAAUCAGCUAAGCUCCUUUUUAAAUGAAAAAGUAAAAGGAUCACUUGUAAGAAGCCGUUUUGUAACUAUAAGAGAUAUGGACGGACCUUCUUCUUAUUUUUUUAAUUUGGAGCGAAAAGCAGGUCAAGAAAAGCAGAUGUAUAUUUUAAAGGACAACAAUGGACGUAAUACUGCAGACCCAAUAGUGAUGCGAAAACUUGCUGUGGAUUUUAUUCUAAUUUAUAUGAUGAUGACAACUCAGAUGAACAGUGCAGAAAUCAACUGUUUCAAGAUCUUCCUGUUUUAACAUCGGAACACAAACAAUCUUUAGACACUGAAAUCACUUUUGAAGAGAUCACUGAUGCUGUUAUGGGACUCUCCUCAGGACGUACACCAGGACUGGACGGAUUACCUGCUGAAUUUUAUUCGUUUUUGGAAUAUUAUUGGUCAUGAUUAUUUUGAGGUAAUCAAAAAAUGUAUCAAAGAAGCUGUGCUUCCUCUGAGUUGUCAGCGGGCAGUUCUUACGCUUCUCCCCAAAAUGGGUGACCUGACAUUUUUAAAGAACUGGAGACCUGUAGCAAUUUAAGGUUCUGAUUAUAAAAUUUCAAAAUGUUUGGCCAAUAGGGUAAAUAAUGUACUGCAUACAAUAAUACAUAAAGAUCUGUCAUAUUGUAUAAAAAAAUAGAUCGAUACAAGAUAACUUACAUCUGGUAAGGAACAUUUUUGACUUUGCCUCUUACAGUAAUACUAAUAUAGGUUUUCUGUCUUUAGACCAAGAAAAAGCUUUUGACAGAGUUAAUCAUCUUUUUCUUUUUGAUACCUUAAAAGCUUUUGGUUUUGGAGACAUUUUUAUCUCCAAAAUAAAACUGCUGUAUGCUGGGGCCACAUGUAUGAUUAAAAUGGCUGGUGGCCUCAGUAUUCCUGUGAAAGUCAAAUGAGGCAUUCGGCAAGGUUGUCCUAUCUCAGGUCAAGUUGUAUAGUAUAGCCAUUGAACCUUUAUUAUGUAGACUGAGAAGACAGCUAACAGGUCUACAGGUCAAUACA
ensembl:lncRNA